CCAGCCACACGAAGCUGCAGCCCAAUGCCCCCGUAGCCCCUAUUGCAAGCCUCAAAAUCCUUUGUUUUAGUUGUCCAAAAACAGAGCAAUGUUCAAGCCACUGCAAUCACCCUCCAUCGAGAGCUCCACCACGUUGUGACCCCACAGAAACUGCCAGUGAGGACUUCCUGUCACCCCAGUUCGCCGCACGCCGUCUCAAGUCCCCCACCAGUAACCAGGCACCACCCCCAUCCACCGUAGCCAACCGCCAACUUCACACCGUCGUGCCCCCAUCUCCAUGACAUUGAUUACCCAACUGGGGGUCAGGAAUAGAAAUUGGAGCUUGACUAGAUAUGGAUAGAAGGCCAAGUACCUAAGAGUACCAUUGUUAGU